rnacentral:rRNA from 1 species
UGGGGAAUUUUGGACAAUGGGGGAAACCCUGAUCCAGCCAUCCCGCGUGUGCGAUGAAGGCCUUCGGGUUGUAAAGCACUUUUGGCAGGAAAGAAACGUCGCGGGUUAAUACCCCGCGAAACUGACGGUACCUGCAGAAUAAGCACCGGCUAACUACGUGCCAGCAGCCGCGGUAAUACGUAGGGUGCAAGCGUUAAUCGGAAUUACUGGGCGUAAAGCGUGCGCAGGCGGUUCGGAAAGAAAGAUGUGAAAUCCCAGAGCUUAGCUUUGGAACUGCAUUUUUAACUACCGGGCUAGAGUGUGUCAGAGGGAGGUGGAAUUCCGCGUGUAGCAGUGAAAUGCGUAGAUAUGCGGAGGAACACCGAUGGCGAAGGCAGCCUCCUGGGAUAACACUGACGCUCAUGCACGAAAGCGUGGGGAGCAAACAGGAUUAGAUACCCUGGUAGUCCACGCCCUAAACGAUGUCAACUAGCUGUUGGGGCCUUCGGGCCUUGGUAGCGCAGCUAACGCGUGAAGUUGACCGCCUGGGGAGUACGGUCGCAAGAUUAAAACUUAAAUGAAUUGACGGGGUCAUAGCUGUUUCCUG